rnacentral:rRNA from 1 species
GCGGAAUGCUUUACACAUGCAAGUCGAACGGCAGCACGGGUACUUGUACCUGGUGGCGAGUGGCGAACGGGUGAGUAAUAUAUCGGAACGUAUCCAUUAAUGGGGGAUAACUAAUCGAAAGGUUGGCUAAUACCGCAUACGUCCUACGGGAGAAAGCAGGGGAUCUUCGGACCUUGCGUUAAUGGAGCGGCCGAUAUCUGAUUAGCUAGUUGGUGAGGUAAAAGCUCACCAAGGCGACGAUCAGUAGCUGGUCUGAGAGGACGACCAGCCACACUGGAACUGAGACACGGUCCAGACUCCUACGGGAGGCAGCAGUGGGGAAUUUUGGACAAUGGGCGAAAGCCUGAUCCAGCCAUUCCGCGUGAGUGAAGAAGCCUUCGGGUUGUAAAGCUCUUUCGCAAGGGAAGAAAACUUACUUUCUAAUAAAGAGUGAGGUUGACGGUACCUUGAUAAGAAGCACCGGCUAACUACGUGCCA